UGGUUAAUACAAAUCUAGGAUUAGUGUUUCUUAGGAUAUAAAGAUGGGGUAUACUGUUGCUGAAAACUAAGCAAAGUAAACGGGAAAAGGGGAGAGAUUAAGACCAAGUGUGGUCUGUUUCCCCGGGAAAUUUAGGCAGGCCCUUGCAAUCCCACCCUGAAGGGAGGUGGGCCAGUCGGUAGCCUCAGCAGCCUCUCCUCCAGGAAGGUUCCAGCUGCCUCUGUGAACAAGCAGCUUUCCGAAGGGCCUAAUGACCAGCAGAUGGCUCACUCCUCCCAAGUAGAUGCUGGCACACGACAUUCUUGCCAAGCUCCAGAAUAAAUCCGAAACAAGCUACAAAGGUGGUGCAGGGUGGGGGUCGCUGGGGUGGGGUGAGGGGAGUUACUCAGAACAGAGAGAAAAACAGAGCUGUUUCACUCUAGCUUAACCACGACAAUAGAAACACGUGUGCCUCUGGUUUUGUCAUCUGUCUCUGCUGUGUCUAAAUGACCGUCUGGUGCAAAUAACCCACCACCUGUGGAUAUUUUCCUUCUGUCUUUUAUAAUAGGGAAGACCAAACCAAGAAUUAAACAACCACUCUAGUCUGAACUCAGCACCACUGCAGAGAAUCUGCUGGUCCCUAUACAACCAUCCUGUGGGAAGUAGAUUACCCACUUACCGAGCUCCACCCACCGUGUAAGGUGCUCUCUCCCCACACCUGUGCUUCUGGGCUACCUACUGCAUUAACACAAACCACAGCAAAAGGAAAAUAAAACAAUUUAGCAAAAAUCUAAACAUUCAACUGGAGUCGGUUCUGUGACAUCUGCUGGGCAUUUCCUUUGUCCUUUGAAUAGGUUGGAAUGUGCACACCUGGCUCGACCAAAAGAGGCACAGCUUAGGGGCGGCUUGGACCCAGCUCAAGUCUGGACUUGGCAGCUUUCCUGAGCCUGCCUAGGAAAGCAGGCUGGAGUGCAGGUGUCCCAGGGCUCUCUGGAGGAGCAGCAGCAACACCAUGCCUGGCUCUGGUGCCUUGGUCUCCUCGGAGAGGACGCUUGAAGGAAUGGCACUCAGCAGAGUACAGGCCCCGUAACAGUGCAGCGCAGCGACAUCCGCUGAGGACUGGACAGAAUGGUCCUGAUGCUUGGCAGUGAUCCGUACUUGGAUAACCCUCUGCAUGAAAGGGCAGUGAGCCAGGAACCUCAAGCCACCCGGGAGCAGGUGCCUACUUGGCGUUUUCUGAGACGAAAGGCAGCGGAGUGUGUAGCAAAGGUGGCGCUGGCUCUUGCUGCUUCUGAAGCUCCAUCUCGGCAGCCCUCUGCAGCGCCACCUCCACCAGCAACUGGAAGCUGCUGAAGUCAUCCUUGUCCUGCUCUGGGGGUGUGGGUGGUGGCGUAUUGAAGAGUCCACCCGUGGGGCUUCCAGCCUCUGCCCUAGUCAGCAGGGGUCACUGUAAAGCUCUGGCUGUUCUGGAACUCACUAUGUAGACCAAGGUGGCCUCAAAUGCUUCUUCUCCCUGAUUCCCAGGAUUAAAGCCACCAUGCUUGGGCUGGAGAGAUGGCUCACUGAUGUAAGAGCACUGAUUGCUCUUCCAGAGGUCCUGAGUUCAAAUCCCAGCAACCACGUGGUGGCUCACAACCAUCUAUAAAAAGGAUCUGAUGCCCUCUUCUGGUGUCUGAAGACAG
rnacentral:lncRNA from 1 species